rnacentral:rRNA from 1 species
GAUGAACGCUGGCGGCGGGCUUAACACAUGCAAGUCGAGGGGUAUGUAUCUUCGGAUGGAGGGACCGGCGCACGGGUGCGGAACGCGUAUGCAAGCUUCCUUUUACAGAGGGAUAGCCAAGAGAAAUUUGGAUUAAUACCUCAUAGUAUAUAGACUCGCCAUCGCGAUGAUAUUAAAGUCACGACGGUACAGGAUGAGCAUGCGUCGCAUUGGCUCGUGGGUAAGGUAGCGGCUUACCAAGGCGACGAUGGGUAGGGGUCCUGAGGGGGAGAGCCCCCACGGGGGUACCGGGACCCUGACCAGAGUCCUACGGCCGGCAGCAGUGAGGAAGAUUGGACAAUGGGCGCUAGCCUGAUCCACCCAAGCCGCGUGCAGGAUGACGGUCCUAUGGAUGGUAACCUGCUGUUAGUCGAGAAGAAUCACUUCUACGGGUAGCAGCGUGACGGUAUCGUAAAAAGAAGCAUCGGCUAACUCCGUG